AAGGCUAUCCCAUUAGCCACCUUACCCUACUGCAGCCACCCUGCCAGCCCCCAAUUUCAGCUUCAAGCCAUGCCUAGAGGCAGGCUAUCAAAUUCCCAAACCUGCUUAAGCACGUUCAAGCUAACUUCAGUUAGCAUUCUCAAUAUCCAAGAUUUUCAGACUUCUUCCUCACACUAGAAAAUCCAAGUGCAAAGUUUCACUACAUCCGUUCAUUGAAGUUCAGUUAACAGCAGCUCAUCAGACCCCAACCAUUUGCCAAAUUUAUCAAAAGCAAGGAACUAUAUGAAAAAGCUUAGAGUCAAGUAUGGAGAUUGUAUUGGACAAGACAUUAUAGAUUAUUGUAAUAAAUAUUGAUAAUAAUAAUUAAUUAUAUAAUUCGAUAUUUGUUGUUUAUUA